rnacentral:rRNA from 1 species
CCUACGGGUGGCAGCAGUGAGGAAUAUUGGUCAAUGGACGAGAGUCUGAACCAGCCAAGUAGCGUGAAGGAUGACUGCCCUAUGGGUUGUAAACUUCUUUGAUAUGGGAAUAAAAUGUUCCACGGGGGGGAUUUUGUAUGUACCAUAUGAAUAAGGAUCGGCUAACUCCGUGCCAGCAGCCGCGGUAAUACGGAGGAUCCGAGCGUUAUCCGGAUUUAUUUGGUUUAAAGGGGGCGUAGGUGGAUUGUUAAGUCAGUGGGGAAAGUUUGCGGCUCAACCGUAAAAUUGCAGUUGAAACUGGCAGUCUUGCGUACAGUAGUGGUGGGCUGCAUUCGUGGUGUCGCGGUGAACUGCUUCGCUCUCACGAAGAACUCCGAUUGCGAAGGCAGCUCACUGGACUGCACCUGACACUGAGGCUC